GCCGAACCCGUGCCUGAUCCUUCUUCUCUUCCUCUUCUUUUCUCCUCCCCAACGGCGCCGUUUCUCCUCCCCCAACCCGAUCGCUUACCCCCUAAUUCCUUUUAUCUCCUCACGAUCCACAUCCAUCGUCGAUUCCUCUUCUCCCCAACCAAAGUCAAACCUUUGCUCUUCUCGUCUCUGCCCUAGAGCCUCUGCCUCGAUUUCCCCUCUUCGACUCCACCGCUCGACGCUAACCACGCCACCGUUCGCACUCGAUCUUCAACCUCUUCCUUGCGAUCGCGCCGGCGACGCUCGAGCCAUAGCCGACCAAGCUUCUGCUUUCACGUCUCUGAGUCCUCUUCCUUUCGGCCACCUAGCAGUGCCCUAGACCUUCCCCUUCCUCUCCGAUCGACGUCGAUCUGCCGCCUGAUCUGCCCUCUAGCCGGCGUUAUGGAUCCGCCCUCUAGCCGGCGUUAUGGAUCCGCCCCGACGAUGUUAUGGAUCCACCCCGAUGAUGAGACAUCAACGCCGGCACUGUCAGUCGUUGUCGAUCUACACAGUCGUUGUUUCCCUGAGCCGACGCCGAGUUUCCUUCCGAUCAGUUGAGCGUCAACAGAAGCUUUGGUUUGGGUUGAGACCGUCAAGAGAUUUCAAUUGCUAGUCCCCACUUCGUGUCGCGACGAUAUUUUGCUUACAGACUUGGUUCCUUGUUUUUGUGUUAAUCUACUUGUUGAUCUAUAUACUUGUGAUUGUACUCGAGGAUUUUUUUUGUCAAGUGUUGGUCUAAUACACUUAUUUUUUUGUUGCGUUGGUU